CCUACGGGUGGCAGCAGUGGGGGAUAUUGGACAAUGGGGGGAACCCUGAUCCAGCGACGCCGCGUGAGUGAAGAAGGAUUUCGGUAUGUAAAGCUCUGUCAGCAGGGGAGAAAGCAAUGACAGUACCUGACCACGAAGCCGCAGCUAACUACGUGCCAGCAGCCGCGGUAAUGCGGAGGGGGCAAGUGUUAUCCGGAAUUACUGGGUGAAAAGGGAUCGUAGACGGGUGUGCAAGUCUGGAGUGAAAGGCGGGGGCCCAACCCCCGGACUGCUCUGGAAACUGUAGGGCUGGAGUGGAGGAGAGGUAAGCGGAAUUCGUAGUGUAGCGGUGAAAUGCGUAGAUAUUAGGAGGAACACCAAUGGCGAAGGCGGCCUACUGGACUGUAACUGACGUUGAGGCUCGAAAGCGUGGGGAGCAAACAGGAUUAGAUACCCUUGUAGUC
rnacentral:rRNA from 1 species